UUUCCGUAGGUGAACCUGCGGAAGGAUCAUUACAGAGAACUUGCCCUUCGGGGUAGAUCUCCCACCCUUUGUUUACAAUACCAUUGUUGCUUUGGCAGGCCCGUCUUCGGACCACCGGCUCCGGCUGGUCAGUGCCUGCCAGAGGACCCAAAACUCUUUAUAAUUUAUUGUCUGAGUACUAUAUAAUAGUUAAAACUUUCAACAACGGAUCUCUUGGUUCUG
rnacentral:misc_RNA from 1 species